rnacentral:rRNA from 1 species
GACGAACGCUGGCGGCGUGCUUAACACAUGCAAGUCGAACGAUGAUGCCAGCUUGCUGGUGGAUUAGUGGCGAACGGGUGAGUAACACGUGAGCAACCUGCCCCUGACUUCGGGAUAACCGCGGGAAACCGUGGCUAAUACCGGAUAUGACGCGCUAUCGCAUGGUGGUGUGUGGAAAGAUUUAUCGGUUGGGGAUGGGCUCGCGGCCUAUCAGCUUGUUGGUGGGGUGAUGGCCUACCAAGGCGACGACGGGUAGCCGGCCUGAGAGGGUGACCGGCCACACUGGGACUGAGACACGGCCCAGACUCCUACGGGGGGCCGCAGUGGGGGAUAUUGCACACUGGGCGCAAGCCUGAUGCAGCGACGCCGCGUGAGGGAUGACGGCCUUCGGGUUGUAAACCUCUUUCAGUAGGGAAGAAGGCCUUCGGGUUGACGGUACCUGCAGAAGAAGCGCCGGCUAACUACGUG